rnacentral:rRNA from 1 species
GACGAACGCUGGCGGCGUGCCUAAUACAUGCAAGUCGAGCGAAUGACUAGAGAAGCUUGCUUCUCUAUGAUUUAGCGGCGGACGGGUGAGUAACACGUGGGUAACCUACCCUAUAGACUGGGAUAACUUCGGGAAACCGGAGCUAAUACCGGAUAAUACUUUGGACCGCAUGGUUUGAAGUUGAAAGACGGUUUCGGCUAUCACUAUAGGAUGGACCCGCGGCGCAUUAGCUAGUUGGUGAGGUAACGGCUCACCAAGGCAACGAUGCGUAGCCGACCUGAGAGGGUGAUCGGCCACACUGGGACUGAGACACGGCCCAGACUCCUACGGGAGGCAGCAGUAGGGAAUCUUCCACAAUGGACGAAAGUCUGAUGGAGCAACGCCGCGUGAGUGAAGAAGGAUUUCGGUUCGUAAAACUCUGUUGCAAGGGAAGAACAAGUAGCGUAGUAACUGGCGCUACCUUGACGGUACCUUGUUAGAAAGCCACGGCUAACUACGUGCCAGCAGCCGCGGUAA